rnacentral:rRNA from 1 species
UACGGAGGGGGCCAGCGUUGUUCGGAAUCAUUGGGCGUAAAGGGCGCGUAGGCGGCUCUGUAAGUCCGUUGUGAAAUCCCUCGGCUCAACCGAGGAACUGCGACGGAUACUGCUUGGCUUGAGUCCCGGAGAGGGUAGCGGAAUUCCCAGUGUAGCGGUGAAAUGCGUAGAUAUUGGGAGGAACAUCGGUGGCGAAGGCGGCUACCUGGACGGGUACUGACGCUGAUGCGCGAAAGCUAGGGGAGCAAACAGG